AAGAUCAUACUUGUUAAAGGAUUAUUAUUUCUACAGUUUGCAUCUUGAAUACGUCAAUAAAAUGUGUCGGAACAUUAACUGCGUUGAUAAGGCGCAGAACAGACGUCGGAACAAGAAAGUGUUUUGACUGUUGUAAUAUUAAACCGUACUUGAGGAAUGUUUUCAAAGUUUGGAGACGAGGGUUGCUCAUGCUGAACAGU
rfam:Ciona savignyi cont_38904, whole genome shotgun sequence.